UAUAAAAAACAGGAAUCUUAGUUGUUAAAGAAAUCAAAAUCCGCUAGAUGUAUCAAAGUGUUGAGAAAGCUUCUCCUAGAGUUAAGAGAAAAGAAAAGAAUGAUUAGAAAAAAAGGGGCUUAAAAGAUUCAUGAAUGCAAAGGGUAGAGUUAAGUUCUUAUAUUGGGAUUGGAGAUGGGAUUACCAUUAGAGCUUCAUUUGAUGUACUCUGGGUAGAUGGGAUCUUAUCUCUUUAUGCAUAGCUUGGGACUUACCUUUACCAUUCUACUAAAGCUUAAUCAUUUUUUUAGAGAUCCCCUGUUACUGAAGCCUAUUCUGUAAGGGACCAUCUUUGUCUCUUGACCUAUUACCUUAGCCAAAUGAGUUCAUUGAUGAUGCAUUGCUUGAUUCACGUUCUAGAACUAAUGAAUGUUAAAGGGAUUGGUAGAUUUGAAAACAUGUGUAGGUCGAGCAUAUGAGUCGGAUUGAUUGAUAAUGAGGCAUGGCUAACGUUUUUAAGUAGAAUUCGAUCUUGCAGCUUAGAAAUUUUCAACUUGGACAUUGAUUUCAUCUGGUUUAUUUGGUGCUUUGGCUCUGAGUCCCCGCUUGAUUGUUUGCUUGAGGGCAAGCAAAGACUAAGUUUGGGGGAGUUGAUAAGUGUGUAUUUUACAUGUUUUGAGCAUCCAUUUGUCAUCAUUUUAGCAUCAUAUCAUCACUGUUUUAUACCAUUUCUCAUCAUUUAUCAUCACUUUACAUGUUUAGGAUAGGUUUGCAUGCAUGUUGCAUAUUUGUAUUGAUUUCAGGUGAUUUGGAGCUGUUGACGAGCUAACUGGAAAAAGUGGACCUGAUCAUGACAAACCACUCGACCUAGAGGGCGAGUAGGAGCUUCAAGAUCUCAAGAGACCACUCGACCCCCAGGUCUUGUAGAAGACAUCACCACUUCACCUCACCACUCGGCCACGAGGUCGAGUGUCCUCAUCUCCAUCACCUGACCAUCACUCGACCACAUCACUCGACCCCGAGGUCGAGUCUCUUUACCACCAUUACCUGAUCAUCACUCGACCCCAUCACUCUACCUGGAAGUCGAGUAUCACCAUCACCACCACUCGACUACACACUCGAUGGCAAGCUUCAGAUUCUUCUUCAUUCCGCACUCAACCAGACACUCGAGCACAAGGAAGAAAAGACGACUCCAACUAUUCACUCGACCUCCCACUUGACCACAUGAUUCGAGUACAGUUCUUAAUCCGUCCCAAUACUGUGUCGUUUUAAGUAUUAGGGUUUCAGAAUAUUUGGCUAUAAGUAGCAUGUACUUCACAUUUUUGCAAACAAGUUUUUUAUCUAGUUUUAUUCUCCAGACCUUGUGUUCUAGACCUUUUGUAAUCCGGAUUUCUCUUUAUCUAUUCAG
rnacentral:sRNA from 1 species